rnacentral:rRNA from 1 species
ACAUGUCCGCAUGAUUAAAGGUAUUUUCCGGUAGACGAUGGGGAUGCGUUCCAUUAGAUAGUAGGCGGGGUAACGGCCCACCUAGUCAACGAUGGAUAGGGGUUCUGAGAGGAAGGUCCCCCACAUUGGAACUGAGACACGGUCCAAACUCCUACGGGAGGCAGCAGUGAGGAAUAUUGGUCAAUGGGCGAUAGCCUGAACCAGCCAAGUAGCGUGAAGGAUGACUGCCCUAUGGGUUGUAAACUUCUUUUAUAAAGGAAUAAAGUCGGGUAUGCAUACCCGUUUGCAUGUACUUUAUGAAUAAGGAUCGGCUAACUCCGUGCCAGCAGCCGCGGUAAUACGGAGGAUCCGAGCGUUAUCCGGAUUUAUUGGGUUUAAAGGGAGCGUAGAUGGAUGUUUAAGUCAGUUGUGAAAGUUUGCGGCUCAACCGUAAAAUUGCAGUUGAUACUGGAUGUCUUGAGUGCAGUUGAGGCAGGCGGAAUUCGUGGUGUAGCGGUGAAAUGCUUAGAUAUCACGAAGAACUCCGAUUGCGAAGGCAGCCUGCUAAGCUGCAACUGACAUUGAGGCUCGAAAGUGUGGGUAUCAAACAAGAUUAGAUACCCUGGUAGUCCACACGGUAAACGAUGAAUACUCGCUGUUUGCGAUAUACGGCAAGCGGCC